CCUACGGGUGGCAGCAGUGAGGAAUAUUGGUCAAUGGCCGGAAGGCUGAACCAGCCAUGCCGCGUGAAGGUCAGUGCCCUAUGGGCGUUAAACUUCUUUUGUGCGGGAGCAAUAAUGGUCACGUGUGGCCAGACGAGAGUACCGUACGAAUAAGCAUCGGCUAACUCCGUGCCAGCAGCCGCGGUAAUACGGGGGAUGCAAGCGUUAUCCGGAUUUAUUGGGUUUAAAGGGUGCGUAGGCGGGCUGUUAAGUCAGCGGUCAAAUGUCGGGGCUCAACCCCGGCCUGCCGUUGAAACUGGCGGCCUCGAGUGGGCGAGAGGUAUGCGGAAUGCGUGGUGUAGCGGUGAAAUGCAUAGAUAUCACGCAGAACUCCGAUUGCGAAGGCAGCAUACCGGCGCCCGACGGACGCUGAGGCACGAAAGCGUGGGUAUCGAACAGGAUUAGAUACCCCUGUAGUC
rnacentral:rRNA from 1 species